rnacentral:rRNA from 1 species
GAUGAACGCUGGCGGCGUGCCUAAUACAUGCAAGUCGAGCGAACGGACGAGAAACUUUCUUUUCUUAUUUUAGCGGCGGACGGGUGAGUAACACGUGUAUAACCUACCUAUAAGACUGGGAUAACUUCGUGAAACCGGAGCUAAUACCGGAUAAUAUUUUGAACCGCAUGGUUCAAAAGUUAAAGACGUUCUUGCUUUCACUUAUAGAUGGAUCCGCGCUGCAUUAGCUAGUUGGUAAGGUAACGGCUUACCAAGGCAACGAUGCAUAGCCGACCUGAGAGGGUGAUCGGCCACACUGGAACUGAGACACGGUCCAGACUCCUACGGGAGGCAGCAGUAGGGAAUAUUGCACAAUGGGCGCAAGCCUGACGGAGCAACGCCGCGUGAGUGAUGAAGGUCUUCGGAUCGUAAAACUCUGUUAUUAGGGAAGAACAUAUGAGUGAGUAAAUGUGCACAUAUUGACGGUACCUAAUCAGAAAGCAACGGCUAACUACGUG